rnacentral:rRNA from 1 species
GACGAACCGUGCGAACGUUGUUCGGAAUCACUGGGCUUAAAGGGCGCGUAGGCGGCUUGUCAAGUCAGGGUGAAAGUCUUUCGGCUCAACCGGAAAAGUGCCUUUGAUACUGACAGGCUCGAGGGAAGUAGGGCAUGUGGAACUUCUGGUGGAGCGGUGAAAUGCGUUGAUAUCAGAAGGAACGCCGGUGGCGAAAGCGACGUGCUGGACUUCUUCUGACGCUGAUGCGCGAAAGCUAGGGGAGCAAACAGG